CAGCACUGUGUGUAUGGACUCAGCAGUGUGUGUGUAUGGACUCAGCACUGUGUGUGUAUGGACUCAGCAGUCUGUCUGUGUGUAUGGACUCAGCACUGUGUGUGUAUGGACUCAGCAGUCUGUAUGUGUGUAUGAACUCAGCAGUGUGUGUGUAUGGACUCAGCAGUGUGUUUAUAAACUCAGCAGUGUGUGUGUAUUGACUCAGCAGUCUGUCUGUGUGUAUGAACUCAGC